rnacentral:rRNA from 1 species
AGAGUUUGAUCUGGCUCAGAAUCAACGCUGGCGGCGUGCCUAACACAUGCAAGUCGAACGUGAAAGUGGAGCAAUCCAUGAGUAGAGUGGCAAACGGGUGAGUAACGCGUGGGCGACCUACCUUCGAGCGGGGGAUAACAUUCCGAAAGGAGUGCUAAUACCGCAUGACAUCCCGUGUUUGGAUACACGGAGAUCAAAGCCGGGGAUCGCAAGACCUGGCACUUGAAGAGGGGCCCGCGUCCGAUUAGCUAGUUGGCGAGGUAAUGGCUCACCAAGGCUCCGAUCGGUAUCCGGCCUGAGAGGGCGGACGGACACACUGGAACUGAGACACGGUCCAGACUCCUACGGGAGGCAGCAGUGGGGAAUUGUUCACAAUGGGCGCAAGCCUGAUGACGCAACGCCGCGUGGAGGAUGAAGACCUUCGGGUCGUAAACUCCUUUCGACCGAGAUGAAUAUCCACCGGCUUAAUACGCCGGUGGAGUGACAGUAUCGAGGGAAGAAGCCCCGGCUAACUCUGUGCCAGCAGCCGCGGUA